AACGGCUGGCGGCGUAGCUUAACACAUGCAAGUCGAACGAGAAUCUGUGGAAAAGAGGAUUCGUCCAAUUGAAGCAGAGGACAGUGGCGGACGGGUGAGUAACGCGUGAGGAACCUGCCUUUCAGAGGGGGACAACAGUUGGAAACGACUGCUAAUACCGCAUAACAUAUAGAUGUCGCAUGGCAUUUAUAUCAAAGAUUUAUCGCUGAAAGAUGGCCUCGCGUCUGAUUAGCUAGUUGGUGAGGUAACGGCCCACCAAGGCGACGAUCAGUAGCCGGACUGAGAGGUUGAACGGCCACAUUGGGACUGAGAUACGGCCCAGACUCCUACGGGAGGCAGCAGUGGGGAAUAUUGGGCAAUGGGCGCAAGCCUGACCCAGCAACGCCGCGUGAAGGAAGAAGGCUUUCGGGUUGUAAACUUCUUUUGUCAGGGAAGAGUAGAAGACGGUACCUGACGAAUAAGCCACGGCUAACUACGUG
rnacentral:rRNA from 1 species